AGGAAACUUCCAACAGUUGCAAAACAAACGUUCUGCUGAACGCAGCCAAUGUAUAGAAAGUUGUUUAGCUUGAUUAAUGGGAAGCAAUAAAGUCGAAUUUGGUAAAUCUUAAGAAAAUCGGUAGUCUUAAUCAUACAAGUUGUAUUGUUUGGCUGUUGGCCAACUUCACCGAUUUACUGAUAAGACUUAGGACUAUCGACUAUCGACUCGUAGAAUCAGGAUUAUACGUAUAUUUUUAUGACUUAAGAACGGGAUAUUAAAUUUGUUCAUGUUCAAUUAGUUUGUUUGAGGAUUUUGUAGCAGGAUAGAAAAUUACUAAUCUGAUGAAGGCUUUAAAAUAUAAAAAUUUGCUGAGCGUACCUCUAAGUCGAAGGACACAGAAAUCCUGUGGACUAAUAUCAGUCAGUCGCAUUUUAGUAAAUGCAUGCAUAUAUGCUAAUACAAUAUAGAAAAGAAUUUUGGAUAGACAGUAGAAGCAGGAAACAUGGAUGCAAUAUUAUUUGCAAUAGCGACUUAAAUAUUGAUAUGUUUAAUAAUAGACUGAAUAUCGCAGUGCUUAAUAAUGGAAUUAAUAUUGGCAUGCUUAAUUUUAUUAUAAAUGAUAUGGUCAAUCCCUUGCCAGAAAAUGAAAUAAUCGCAUGAUGUAAUGAAAGACCAAAAAAUAAAAAUUAUUAUAUUUUGAAGACUAUUCCGAGAUAUGCAUACAAUUUCUAGAACACUUUCGUAUGUCGCGAGUUACAUUUGAGGCAUUAUUAAACGUAGUAGCACCUUUACUAAAUCCGGAAGAAUAUGUAGAUGUAAGCCCAUCAAAGAAAUUACUAUUUACAAUAUGGGUUUUGGCCAAACAAGAAAGUUUUUUAGCUACAGAUUUUUGGGAAUCGUUCGCGUGGUUUCCAAGGGGUUAUAGAUGCAAUUGAUGGUUGCCACGUCCCAUGUAAACAGCUAAUAAGAAAUCCACAUUAUUAUAAUCGCAAAAGGUUUCAUUCCAUUAUAUUACAAGGGGUAUGCGAUCAUAGGGGAAAAUUUAUAGAUUGCUUUAUUGGUUUGCCAGGUAGAAUGCAUGAUGCAAGAGUAUUCAGGCAAAGUCCAUUAUUUGAAAAUAUGUCGAAUGCAAAGUUACGUUUUAUACCACGACAGCUGUACUUGAUAGGCGAUUCAGCAUAUCCACUGAUGAUAAAUCUGAUGACACCAUAUAAGGACAAUGGUCAUCUAACAGUCUCACAAAUACGAUAUAAUACGAAAUUAAGUUGCAUUCGUUCAAGGAUUGAAAGAUCGUUUGCGCUGUUGAAAGGAAAAUUUAGAAAACUCAAAUACCUUGACAUCUCAGAUUUUGAUCUAGGAAACAAAAUGAUUGCAGCUGCAUGUACAUUACAUAAUUUUAUAAUAGAUGGUGAUAAUUUGAAUAUAGAUGAUGAAGAUUAUUUAGAAGAGCAAAAUUUACAUGAAAUAGAACAAGAAGAAGAAGAAGUACAAGAGGCUGUACAAAAGCGCAUAUAUUAUAUAUUACAAAUCAGUUAUAAUUAUUAAAACGUAUGUUUAAAAAUUGGAUUUUUUGUGAAUAUAAAUAUACCAUAUAUCUUCAAGACAAAAAAGUUAA